rnacentral:rRNA from 1 species
UACGUAGGGUGCGAGCGUUGUCCGGAAUUAUUGGGCGUAAAGGGCUCGUAGGCGGUUUGUCGCGUCGGGGGUGAAAACACCGGGCUUAACUCGGUGCUUGCUUUCGAUACGGGCAGACUAGAGGUAUGCAGGGGAGAACGGAAUUCCUGGUGUAGCGGUGAAAUGCGCAGAUAUCAGGAGGAACACCGGUGGCGAAGGCGGUUCUCUGGGCAUUACCUGACGCUGAGGAGCGAAAGCGUGGGGAGCGAACAGG